CUUGGUCAUUUAGAGGAAGUAAAAGUCGUAACAAGGUCUCCGUUGGUGAACCAGCGGAGGGAUCAUUACCGAGUUUACAACUCCCAAACCCCUGUGAACAUACCACUUGUUGCCUCGGCGGAUCAGCCCGCUCCCGGUAAAACGGGACGGCCCGCCAGAGGACCCCUAAACUCUGUUUCUAUAUGUAACUUCUGAGUAAAACCAUAAAUAAAUCAAAACUUUCAACAACGGAUCUCUUGGUUCUGGCAUCGAUGAAGAACGCAGCAAAAUGCGAUAAGUAAUGUGAAUUGCAGAAUUCAGUUAAUCAUCGAAUCUUUGAACGCACAUUGCGCCCGCCAGUAUUCUGGCGGGCAUGCCUGUUCGAGCGUCAUUUCAACCCUCAAGCACAGCUUGGUGUUGGGACUCGCGUUAAUUCGCGUUCCUCAAAUUGAUUGGCGGUCACGUCGAGCUUCCAUAGCGUAGUAGUAAAACCCUCGUUACUGGUAAUCGUCGCGGCCACGCCGUUAAACCCCAACUUCUGAAUGUUGACCUCGGAUCAGGUAGGAAUACCCGCUGAACUUAAGCAUAUCAAUAAGCGGAGGA
rnacentral:rRNA from 1 species